GUUGGCAGCCAUAUCACCCUGUAGCCCAAGACUGGUUGCCCACUGAAGCUAAGCAGGGCUGAGCCUGGUCAUUAUCUGGAUGAGAGACCUCCUGGGAAAACUAGGUCACUGCUGGAA
rnacentral:rRNA from 1 species